AUUGAACGCUGGCGGCAGGCCUAACACAUGCAAGUCGAGCGGAUGAAGGGAGCUUGCUCCUGGAUUCAGCGGCGGACGGGUGAGUAAUUCCUAGGAAUCUGCCUGGUAUUGGGGGAUAACGUCCGGAAACGGGCGCUAAUACCGCAUACGUCCUGAGGGAGAAAGUGGGGGAUCUUCGGACCUCACGCUAUCAGAUGAGCCUAGGUCGGAUUAGCUAGUUGGUUGGGUAAAGGCCUACCAAGGCGACGAUCCGUAACUGGUCUGAGAGGAUGAUCAGUCACACUGGAACUGAGACACGGUCCAGACUCCUACGGGAGGCAGCAGUGGGGAAUAUUGGACAAUGGGCGAAAGCCUGAUCCAGCCAUGCCGCGUGUGUGAAGAAGGUCUUCGGAUUGUAAAGCACUUUAAGUUGGGAGGAAGGGCAGUAAGUUAAUACCUUGCUGUUUUGACGUUACCAACAGAAUAAGCACCGGCUAACUUCGUG
rnacentral:rRNA from 1 species